rnacentral:rRNA from 1 species
GCAAGCUAUCUACCAUAACCAACAAUUUAAACCUAAUCAAACCCUAACACACUACUGAGCUGUUCUAUACACCUAUAGAACCACUUAUGCUAGAACUAGUAACAUGAAUUUAUUCUCCCAAAUGCAAGUGUAAAUCAGAUCGAAACAAUCACUGAUAAUUAACGACCUUAAAUGAAAAAAAUGUAGCAACCCACCAAGAAAACCCUAUACCACACACCGUUAAACUUACACAAGAGCAUUCCAGGAAAGAUUUAAAGACUUGGAAGGAACUCGGCAAACAAGAACCCCGCCUGUUUACCAAAAACAUCGCCUCUUGCCCAAUUCAAAUAAGAGGUCCAGCCUGCCCAGUGACCAUGUGUUCAACGGCCGCGGUAUU